rnacentral:rRNA from 1 species
CCUACGGGGGGCAGCAGUGAGGAAUAUUGGUCAAUGGACGAGAGUCUGAACCAGCCAAGUAGCGUGAAGGAUGACUGCCCUAUAGGUUGUAAACUUCUUUUAUAUGGGAAUAAAAUGUUCCACGUGUGGGAUUUUGUAUGUACCAUAUGAAUAAGGAUCGGCUAACUCCGUGCCAGCAGCCGCGGUAAUACGGAGGAUCCGAGCGUUAUCCGGAUUUAUUGGGUUUAAAGGGAGCGUAGGUGGAUUGUUAAGUCAGUUGUGAAAGUUUGCGGCUCAACCGUAAAAUUGCAGUUGAAACUGGCAGUCUUGAGUACAGUAGAGGUGGGCGGAAUUCGUGGUGUAGCGGUGAAAUGCUUAGAUAUCACGAAGAACUCCGAUUGCGAAGGCAGUUCACUGGACUGCAACUGACACUGAGGCUCGAAAGUGUGGGUAUCAAACAGGAUUAGAUACCCCAGUAGUC